AGUGAACGCUGGCGGUAGGCCUAACACAUGCAAGUCGAACGGCAGCACAGUAAGAGCUUGCUCUUACGGGUGGCGAGUGGCGGACGGGUGAGGAAUACAUCGGAAUCUACUUUUUCGUGGGGGAUAACGUAGGGAAACUUACGCUAAUACCGCAUACGACCUACGGGUGAAAGCAGGGGAUCUUCGGACCUUGCGCGAUUGAAUGAGCCGAUGUCGGAUUAGCUAGUUGGCGGGGUAAAGGCCCACCAAGGCGACGAUCCGUAGCUGGUCUGAGAGGAUGAUCAGCCACACUGGAACUGAGACACGGUCCAGACUCCUACGGGAGGCAGCAGUGGGGAAUAUUGGACGAUGGGCGCAAGCCUGAUCCAGCCAUACCGCGUGGGUGAAGAAGGCCUUCGGGUUGUAAAGCCCUUUUGUCGGGAAAGAAAAGCAGCAGGUUAAUACCCCGCUGUUCUGACGGUACCCAAAGAAUAAGCACCGGCUAACUUCGUG
rnacentral:rRNA from 1 species